rnacentral:misc_RNA from 1 species
UCUCCGUAGGUGAACCUGCGGAGGGAUCAUUACAAGAACGCCCGGGCUACGGCCUGGUUAUUCAUAACCCUUUGUUGUCCGACUCUGUUGCCUCCGGGGCGACCCUGCCUUCGGGCGGGGGCUCCGGGUGGACACUUCAAACUCUUGCGUAACUUUGCAGUCUGAGUAAACUUAAUUAAUAAAUUAAAACUUUUAACAACGGAUCUCUUGGUUCUG